rnacentral:rRNA from 1 species
UAAUGUAUGGGGAUCUGCCCGAUAGAGGGGAAUAACUACUGGAAACGGUGGCUAAUACCGCAUAAUGUCUACGGACCAAAGCAGGGGCUCUUCGGACCUUGCACUAUCGGAUGAACCCAUAUGGGAUAGCUAGUAGGUGGGGUAAAGGCUCACCUAGGCGACGAUCUCUAGCUGGUCUGAGAGGAUGAUCAGCCACACUGGGACUGAGACACGGCCCAG